GGAAUAUUGGUCAAUGGGCGGGAGCCUGAACCAGCCAUGCCGCGUGGAGGAUGACGGCCCUCUGGGUUGUAAACUUCUUUUAUCUGGGACGAAAAAAGCCUUUUCUAAGGAGCUUGACGGUACCAGGUGAAUAAGCACCGGCUAACUCCGUGCCAGCAGCCGCGGUAAUACGGAGGGUGCGAGCGUUAUCCGGAUUUACUGGGUUUAAAGGGGGCGCAGGCGGGCCUGUAAGUCAGUGGUGAAAUACUUGGGCUCAACCCGGGAACUGCCAUUGAUACUAUAGGCCUUGAGUGACGUUGAGGUUUGCGGAAUGGGUCAUGUAGCGGUGAAAUGCAUAGAUAUGACCCGGAACACCUAUUGCGAAGGCAGCAGGCUAAACGUAUACUGACGCUGAGACCCGAAAGCGUGGGGAUCAAA
rnacentral:rRNA from 1 species